rnacentral:rRNA from 1 species
UACGGAGGUGGCAAGCGUUGCUCGGAAUCACUGGGCUUAAAGGGCGCGUAGGCGGGCUACCAAGUCAGUGGUGAAAUACUUCAGCUCAACUGGAGAAGUGCCGCUGAUACUGGUAGUCUCGAGGGAGGUAGGGGUCGAUGGAACUAAUGGUGGAGCGGUGAAAUGCGUAGAUAUCAUUAGGAACGCCGGUGGCGAAAGCGAUCGACUGGACCUCUUCUGACGCUGAGGCGCGAAAGCUAGGGGAGCAAACGGG